rnacentral:rRNA from 1 species
AUUGAACGCUGGCGGCAGGCCUAACACAUGCAAGUCGAGCGGAUGAAGGGAGCUUGCUCCUGGAUUCAGCGGCGGACGGGUGAGUAAUGCCUAGGAAUCUGCCUGGUAGUGGGGGAUAACGUCCGGAAACGGGCGCUAAUACCGCAUACGUCCUGAGGGAGAAAGUAGGGGAUCUUCGGACCUCACGCUAUCAGAUGAGCCUAGGUCGGAUUAGCUAGUUGGUGGGGUAAAGGCCUACCAAGGCGACGAUCCGUAACUGGUCUGAGAGGAUGAUCAGUCACACUGGAACGGAGACACGGUCCAGACUCCUACGGGGGGCAGCAGUGGGGAAUAUUGGACAAUGGGCGAAAGCCUGAUCCAGCCAUGCCGCGUGUGUGAAGAAGGUCUUCGGAUUGUAAAGCACUUUAAGUUGGGAGGAAGGGCAGUAAGUUAAUACCUUGCUGUUUUGACGUUACCAACAGAAUAAGCACCGGCUAACUUCGUG